AUCAACACAACUCAGCCAACCCCACACCAGAGUCAGAGUCAUUGGUGAGUUGAAGCAGCAUGGCGGAUCAAAGGUUCGACUACUCAAAAACAGCAGUGGAGAGCAGCUAGGAGCCAAGAGGCGCAUUGUAGCCGGAGCAGAAGAUUGAAGACUCAGCAAAGGCGAGGAGUUGCAGUGUCGACAAAGGCUUCAACGAGGACGUCGAAGGAAUAAGUGGGGGAGAAUGUCACGGACAAACUUCUAAACAAGGUGUUUGAUGUAAUGCUUAUGUAUGUCCGUGUCUUUUGGCAUGUUCAUGCCUUGUACAGCAUGUAAAGGGGCGGUCGAAGGCUUAAUAGUCCCAUUUUAGUUGGGUUGGUGGCCUCUUUAGGCUUGUAAAUAAAGGAUGUGUCAUGUGGACACGUGCGAGAGAUUAUCGGUUUAUAAUGGACCAUUUUACCCUUUGUUGUGCCACUGUUCAGAGCUUGUAAAGUCUGUUUGUGAUUUGCAUUGUCUAUGAAGUGUUUUUCGGAGAUGUUUGCUUGUGGAUCCCGAUUGAGGCGUUCUCUCUAACCCGUUCUCUCUUUUGGUGGUCCUAAGGGACAAUGGGAGGCUUCGGGGAGGCUGACCUUUGCGGACGGACACGCAAGGGUGCCACACGACUUAGGCAAAACCAGCUAAGUCCGUGACA
rnacentral:lncRNA from 1 species